UGCGGAGGGUGCAAGCGUUGUUCGGAAUUACUGGGCGUAAAGCGCGUGUAGGCGGUCGCUUAAGUCUGAUGUGAAAGCCCGGGGCUCAACUCCGGAAGAGCAUUGGAAACUGAGCGACUAGAGUGCCGGAGAAGAGGGUGGAAUUCCUGGUGUAGCGGUGAAAUGCGUAGAUAUCAGGAGGAACACCGGUGGCGAAGGCGGCCCUCUGGACGGAUACUGACGCUGAGACGCGAAAGCGUGGGGAGCAAACAGG
rnacentral:rRNA from 1 species